rnacentral:misc_RNA from 1 species
CACAAACCGUGAAUAUUGCAAGGCUGGGUCAUUACUACCAUUGAAACUGACCAUGAACCAUCUGAAUCGUUCAGGCUGUACAGACGAAGAUUGACAUCAGGGUCAAGAGUUAGCCUUCUCUUGAUGCCUGGCCCUACGUCGGAGGCCACAAGCGCCUGAUCAUCAGCGAAGUCGCUCGAGUCAAGCACCCCGCUAUCAGUAAGCAUUCCUAACCUCGUACGGUUAUACUGGUUCCGACCAUCCUGGUAGAUGUUCUGGUCAGGGUCUGGCCAGUAUAUGUCUGAGACUUGAGGCAAGUCGCUGAAGCAGAAGAUGUAGUUACCAGGACUACGCGAUUGGGUUGUGGGGACUAAUCUGGUCGCAGCAGUGAUGAGCUGCGUCGGCAGGAAAGUGUUCGUUGGGGAAUCAAAACUCUGCCAUACAGUGUUACCUCCUGAGUCCUCGAUGACGAGGUUCCCAGUGUUCAGGAGCCGAGCACGCUGGACACCGGUGAAGUUGUUGCCAUCAGCUCGCCACACGGCUGCGUCGUCGUAGUCGGUGAGCACCAUGUUGUCAUCCUUUUGCAGGGUUAGAGCCGACCUCCUGGCAUGGACAGGGCGGUCAAGGUUUGCGCUCCACACGAUGGUCUUGUUGGCCGCCGCCUUUGAGUACCAUACUGAGAAUGUGAAGGCAUGGGUGUAGACUUCAUAGAAGCCAGAGGAGAAUGUCCCGUCUGAUGAUUGUAAGGCGCUGGAUUCCUAGGACUCGACUUUGAGAGAGGAACCCAGUGGUAGGAUGUCUCAGGAUGAUGCAGCUCUUGGAAAUAGAGCGAUGAAGGAGAGGAUGGCAGCAGUGGAAAGGAGAGCUGCAAGAGGACGAGACAUCAUUGCUGAGAUGGGGUUUUGGUCGAUGAACGCGCAGGGCCAGCUACUUGUAUCCGUGGUAUGCCGAGUUUCUGUCUUAGUCCUGAUAGCGAAACGCCAUUACCUGGUCAAAUUCAGAGUGCCAUGGAGUUCAAGUUGUUUAAGUUUAAAAAAAAAAAAAAAAAAA